GGUGGUAUAGCUUAAGCAGUAGAGUGCAUGCUUAGCAUGCACAAGGUCUUGGGUUCAAUCCCCGGUACCUCCU
rnacentral:tRNA from 1 species